rnacentral:rRNA from 1 species
GCCAGCCCGCUCAGAAACUUAAAGGAAUGACGGGGCCCGCACAAGCGGUGGAGCAUGUGGUUUAAUUCGAUGCAACGCGAAGAACCUUACCUGGUCUUGACAUCCCGGAGACCCUUAGGAAACUAGGGGGUGCUUCCAUCUGGAAGAAUCUGGAGACAGGUGCUGCAUGGCUGUCGUCAGCUCGUGUCGUGAGAUGUUGGGUUAAGUCCCGCAACGAGCGCAACCCUUGCCUUUAGUUGCCAGCAGUUCGGCUGGGCACUCUAAAGGGACUGCCGGUGUUAAACCGGAGGAAGGUGGGGAUGACGUCAAGUCCUCAUGGCCUUUAUGACCAGGGCUACACACGUACUACAAUGGCCGAUACAAAGGGCAGCGACACUGCGAGGUGAAGCCAAUCCCGUAAAAUCGGUCUCAGUCCGGAUUGGAGUCUGCAACUCGACUCCAUGAAGUUGGAAUCGCUAGUAAUCGUGGAUCAGCAUGCCACGGUGAAUACGUUCCCGGGCCUU